UAAGAUCUGCAGGACUCUACCCAACAUCACCUGAAUGCAACCCAGAUACUUUAAUUAAGCUAAGACCUU
rnacentral:tRNA from 1 species